CCUGGAUCAAUAAUGCUGAGGCAGGAGACACGGUAAUACUUGCCACAAGCAGUUCCAAGAUCCACGUUACUUCCGUUAUAGUGGUGAACUCCAAUUUUGGCAAGCAUUGCGUAGUACUCAAUUUCGGAUUUACGCAGAGGCGGGCAGUUAUUCGAUAGAAUAAUAAGCUUCCCUUUGGAACUGCGGAUAGUGCGAAGGACGGUUUUGUAACCCAGUGUGUACUUGCCACUCUUCAUCACAAGGGCGAGCCUGUUGUUAAUGCUCUCAUGAGUCUUCUUAGUCUUCUUCGCCGGCGCCAUCGUCGCUGCUCAAAAGGUGAACAAAAUCCCUUCUGUGCUUUUCAACGACAAGGGGUGGCGGG
rnacentral:misc_RNA from 1 species